rnacentral:misc_RNA from 1 species
UUGGAAAUGCAGCUUUAUUCACAAAGUUAAUAAAUUGAACAAACUAUAGUGUCAGUUGGAAAAGAAAACUGACCAAUUUGGGACAGCUAGAUUCUUACAAUGUCAGUAUUUUUAUUCUCUACCAUGCAUACUCUGGAAAUAAUCAGUCCAAAGGCCUAUAUACAUUCUAAUCAACUUGAUCCAAAACUCGCCCUGACUUUCACUAUUUAUGUACUUCACAGUUGUCAUGCACAGUGUGGUCAACAUCAUCAUCAGAGUGGAUCCUGUAACAGUAUUAACUCACAAUAUCAUCAAGCCUAAACUUUCCAUCCCACCAAAUCUUUGCACUAAUGUUCUAGUUCAUUCUUCUGAUGCACGAAAGCAAACCUUCUCAAGUUGCAUUGGCCACUCUUCUCCAAGAAUCUUAGGGUUUAGUUCCAUUGUAAGCCGAAAAUCUAACAUGGAUACUGUAGUGGACCCAUUUGGUUUCUGAAAAUAUCUCACAGGCCGCACCCCAUUCAAACCAGAUAUGAAUCGAAUCUGUCCUUGACCUGUAUGUUUGUGUCCAGAUCUUGAACCAGCUAAAUCCAUACAGGGUUUUAUCAAUCUCUUCAAAUAAACAUCCAAGCUGUUAUUUAACAAAUUGGCACAAUCCACUGAAACUUUUAUUCCUUCCAUUUCUAACUUUUGCUCCAACCUUUUCCUUAAAGAAUUGGAAUCAGGUAAUUCACCACUACUCUGACAUGUCCCCAUACGAUAAGAAGAUGCCAAGCGAUUACACAGUACUUUUCGUGCCCCUUUAGUGUUCAAAGGGACGCCAAGAGGAGCUCUAACAGGACUCCUACUAUAAAUGCUAGGGCUUCCAGCAGCCUGAUCAACCUCUUCUCCAUCUUCCACAGAGCCUGGAGGUCUGCUGCCCAAAGAAAGCAGCUCAGUGGCACUCUGUUGUUCUUGGUUUUUAGGGAUAGAAUCUUCAAAAGCAAUACUGUGGCUCUUCCCAUGAGGGCCAAGAGGACUAGGACGAUCCCUGAACUUGCGUUCACUAAGAACUGACCUCCCCUUACGAGGAGAUUGGAGAAAAUCUCUGCAUAGGGACUGAAGACUACUUUUUUGAUACCCAUUAGGCACUUUGACACCUAAAGCACCUUCAGCUUUACUCUCCUUUGGCAGGGUAGUCUUCGAGAACUGUGCAUUUUUGAUAAUUGAUCUGAGGAGAAGAUUAUGAAGACGUACAUUUUCCCUCCCUAUUGUACCAAUGCAGAGUCUAUCAAAAUCAGAUUUGCUAAUCUUAAGACUCAGAAACUUUGUGAGGAGAUCAAAAUACUUCUGUGCUUUUGGGUGCCCAAGCUUCCUCUCAAUCUCCAAUUUCAGCUCUGCUGUGUCUAUCCGGGUAAAAUGAUGAGCUGCCGGCAUUUUAGUUUCGAAACUCCUCACUAGCAAUCAUCAAGAACAAAACAAAAUAAUAAUGUUAUGCUAAAAACCACUGCAUCGGAAAUUAUUACAACACAACUUUCCUAAGAAAAAUCGCAUAACACGAAAAAUUCUCAAAUCCAAACAGACAUAUGCCAAUAGCAAGCUUGUUAGUUCUAUUAGAACCCCGAAAACCUAAGUUCAUCUGUUUCUAGCAAAUCACUUUCCGCCAAGUAAAGUCAACAGUAGAAGCUAAUCCAAGAAAAAUAACUAAAUUCUAGAACGAAAGAAACAAAACCUGUAUCGAAAUUAACCGCAAAACACGAUUUUCAACUUCAUUUUGCUCAUUAUUGCUUCAAUUCAAUUACUUGUUCACCAAAUCAAAGCAAUACAAAAUACAUAAAAAGUCUUCAGCCCCCAACUUCGAUUUCACAUAGACAAACAAAGAAACCAAUAAAAUUUUCCAAACUUCCAAGGUAAAUUGGAGCUCGACACAACUCUCUAUUGAAAAAUUGACCAGUAAAAGAAAGAAAAAAUAGAGAAAACUGAGCAAGGCAAUCCAGACAUUGAAACAAAGAAAGAAAACAAAUGAUGUAAAGAAGAAGAGAAAGGCCAAGUUAAAUUGAAGAAGUAC